GGCAUGGUGGCUUAGUGGUUAGUUUGUUUGCCUCGCAACCUCCAGGGUUGGGGGUUCAAUUCCCAGCCCUGCCC